UCCUCGUGCGCUGUGCGAGCUGCGCGGUGGCAUCAACCCGCGCCGCACGGGAGCGUCCUCAGAGCCUGAGGAACGUGGCUUCCUCACCUGUAGGAUGGGCUCCGGCCCGGCGGGGCGUGUGAGGACUGAAUGAGGUCUUCCUAAGAGUUACAUAACUGCCCCCAAAGCCAGGGGGCAGGAGCAGGGCCAGCCGUGGGAGAUGUUUCCAAAGAGGAAUGCUGAGGAAGGACUGACCUUGAGAAGACAGGGAGUUCGCCAGGCCGUGGAAUGUUCCCAGCCUCGGGGCUCAAACAAAAACUGUAUUCAGAGAGCUUCAGUUCCGCGGUCUGAGACCCAGAGCAGCAUUCUUCAGACUGUGGGUCAUGACCAUUGGUAGCUUGUGUCAUCAAUGUAGUGGCUCACACCCAGCAUUAAAACAAAAAAAAGCUGAACAAUAAAGUAGGCUAUCCAAGCACAUCAGACAUAAUAAAAGUCCGUGUUAUUUCA